CAAAGAGCGGCGGCCAUGUUUGGCAAAGCACUUCCCAGCACAAAAAUUAAAAAUACUACGCAGCAAAACCUCUCAUUGCUUCAAAGAGGUGACAAAUUCAGAAGAGUGCCUUCUGUGGAUUGCAGCCUGGCUCACUGAAUCUGUUCCAGUUCCCCCUGGUGCUGGGAAAUGCUGUGGCCCAAGCUAGCUUUGCUCCAGGCUCAGUGGAUGUGAUUCAUCUCAGCUGCUGUGAAGAUGGAAUGGGAAGGUUCCAGCACUGCUGCCUUGGUGUGACAUAGGCUGCUCACGAAAUCCUGUGUUGCUGGCAUUGUUGGGUCAUGUAUCCUUCAGAAUUGCAUCAUCCUAAACCUGACAAACAGGCACUUCAUCCAUACAAGCUCAUUCUCCUUUCUCCUUCUUUAUGGAAAAUUGGCAGACUCCCAACCUGUUUCCAUAGGAAUGGGCUGGGAGACCAGGAGACCUCCAGCUGCUGAAGUCCCAGCAUUAACACAGCCGUGGCAUCUGCUCGGCCAUCACAGAAGCUCCUGCAGCCUCUGGAGAUUGCAGUCAUGGGAAAACGAGUCAAUUUGUGGUGGAGAUAAGGAGCUGAUAACCAGCUUACCUGAGGCUGCCCAGCUGAUUUUGAUGGAGGGUGUAGAAAGCUCCAUUACUUGCUCUUGGAUGCUGGGCUUCAUCCCACUCCCCUGCUUCUUUGGGGGCUGCCCCAAACCUCCCACUUUCCCCAGGCUGAGCAGAGGCUUCCCCGCAGGAUGGCAGCAUUCACUAAACCUCUAGCAUCAGCUGGAGAUGCCUCAGGUGUCUGCUUUGAUUUGCUUCCCUCUUAUGAAAUGAAAAGAGAGGAAAUAAAUUGUGGCACAGCUCCCCCGCCUGACUUUUUGCUUGGAUGCCAGUUCUCAGCUCAGGCUAUUGUUCUGCAGAGUUUCAUUUUAAACUCCUUUAUUAGACACUCUAAAAUAUCACUUCCUUGCUCUUGCAGACAGCCUGUUCCUACAUGAGGGAUUUGCACUUCUUAGUCAGCUGAUAGUGGUUUCUAAGGGAAGGCAGCCCUGGGAGUGUUGGUUUAUCACCUGCCCUGCUGGUGUUUGAUCCCCUCUGCCCCAGGGCCAAGCUGUGCUCCCACACUACUGGGAAGAGGUGCAAUUAAGGUUUGGCCUCCUUGCAGAAGCACCCAUCAAACACUCCAGGCUCCUCAUAUAUGAAGUGAGGAACUGGGCUGAGCUGGUUCCCACGUCCUUCCAAGUGUUGCACUUCCUCCAGUCUGGCUGCAGAUGUACAGCUGGGAACUGACAUGGAAAAUCUUCAUAACUCCAGAGCAUCAGUUCCCCUAGAAGGUUAAAAAUGCUUUCUUUUCUUCCAAUGGAUUUGUAUGGUAGCUAUAAACAUGGAGCAGGAAUGCACGGGAAAUAUUGCCCCACUCUGAGCCUGCAGCCUUGGUAUGGGCACCACAGCAAGGAGCUGCUUCCCAGGAAGGGAUUUCUCCCCCUGCUUUGCUCUCUACUGCUCCCAACAGACAGGUUCCCAGCUGGGGAAUUAGCAGAGCUAUCCAGGGAAUUGCACAAGCUUUUGCCUUGCUGCUCAGUGAAGGAGUGAAGCUGAGCUUUGGUACAACCCCAGCAGCUGCCACGUCUGUGAUCUCAAGACAUCAAGCAGGGAUUACUCAUCUUGAGAGCUCCCAGUGAGGAUCAGAGGGGAAGGGGGACUCCUGACACCUCUGUCUAUGUGAUACUCAUCCCCCUCAGGCAUCAGUGUGGACAAUAUGCUGCCAUGGCUCAAAGCUGCAGUGGAGCCCAGCAGUGAAAGGCAGGUAGGCCUGGCACAUCUACAGCAGAAGGAGCCAGCACGAUAACUCCCACGGCAGCUGCAGUGGUGGGAAGCAGCACAGUUUUAUUCUGUCUGGUACAAAAGGUACCCUUGAAAAAUGCAGAAGGCAGACUGUGGCUCAGCCACCUGUAUGGCAGGACAUGCUACAUGAGCACAGCCUUCACUUUGAGUUCCUGGAUGCUCAAGGGCUCUUUUCAUGUGGUUUUAGAGCCAUCACAGCAUGUGUGGCCAAAUCUCUGCUCCCAAGUUGGCUCCUUGGGCUCCUCCCUCACCAGUGUUAAGAUGGUCAGGGAAGCUUGAAAAGGAGUUGUGGGAAGACUGGCCACUCAAAUCAUAUUUCAGAUGUCAGUGUCUCUCUGGCAUGGCUCCAGGCUGGUCAGCCUCUCCCUUACCAAGGUGUUGACUCAGGUGAUGACCAAAGCAUUGCUGCAGGAGGUCAGAUGGGGACCCUAGACAGGCUGUGAACCACCCAGCCUGUUCUUGGAGGGGGACUAGCAAGGAGAAGGGAGUUCCUUUCACUGCUCUUAGCAUAUGUGAUGCAGUGGUUUCCAAAGGGUCAAUCAGCUGAAAUAAUAAAUCCUUCCUAAAUCCAGAAUUCAAAGAUCUUCCUAGUACAUGUCAGUUGACAUGGCAUUAAUAAUUCUUUCUGUGAC